rnacentral:rRNA from 1 species
GGGAGCCUGAGAAAUGGCUACCACAUCCAAGGAUGGCAGCAGGCGCGCAAAUUACCCACUCCCAGCUUGGGGAGGUAGUGACGAAAAAUAACAAUGCGGGACUCUAAGAGGCCCCGUAAUUGGAAUGAGUACACCUUAAAUCGUUUAACGAGUAUCAAUUGGAGGGCAAGUCUGGUGCCAGCAGCCGCGGUAAUUCCAGCUCCAAUAGCGUAUAUUAAAGUUGCUGCAGUUAAAAAGCUCGUAGUUGGAUCUGGGGCUUGAGGUCGCUGUCUAUCGUUUCGGCGAUGACGGUGAUGCUCAGCUCUGCUUGCCGGUGACUGUUGCGGUGUUCUUCACUGAGCGCUGUAGCAGCACGGCACGUUUACUUUGAAAAAAUUAGAGUGCUCAAAGCGUGCUUGUCGCUUGAAUAAUGUUGCAUGGAAUAAUGGAAUAGGACCUCGGUUCUAUUUUGUUGGUUUUCGGAGCUUGAGGUAAUGAUUAAGAGGGACGAACGGGGGCAUUCGUAUUGCGGUGUUAGAGGUGAAAUUCUUGGAUCGCCGCAAGACGGACUACUGCGAAAGCAUUUGCCAAGAACGCUUUCAUUAAUUAAGAACGAAAGUCAGAGGUUCGAAGACGAUCAGACACCGUCCUAGUUCUGACCAUAAACGAUGCCGACCAGCGAUCCGUAGUGGUUGCUUUAUGGACCCUACGGGCAGCCUCCGGGAAACCAAAGUAUUUGGGUUCCGGGGGAAGUAUGGUUGCAAAGCUGAAACUUAAAGGAAUUGACGGAAGGGCACACCAGGAGUGGAGCCUGCGGCUUAAUUUGACCCAACACGGGAAAACUCACCCAGUCCGGACACCGUAAGGAUUGACAGACUGAUAGCUCUUUCUUGAUUCGGUGGAUGGUGGUGCAUGGCCGUUCUUAGUUGGUGGAGUGAUUUGUCUGGUUAAUUCCGAUAACGAACGAGACUCUAGCCUGCUAAGUAGUGUUGCUAUUGUUAUAUGGUUGACACUUCUUAGAGGGACAAGUGGCAUUUAGCCACGCGAAAUUGAGCAAUAACAGGUCUGUGAUGCCCUUAGAUGUCCGGGGCCGCACGCGCGCUACACUGGAGAAGUCAGCGUGUGUUAUCCAAGUCCGAAAGGACUGGGUAAUCCGUUGAACCUUCUUCGUGCUUGGGACUGUGGCUUGGUACUAUUCCACAUGAACGAGGAAUUCCUAGUAAUUGCAAGUCAUAAGCUUGCGUUGAUUACGUCCCUGCCCUUUGUACACACCGCCCGUCGCUACUACCGAUUGAAUGGUUUAGCAAGGUCCUCGGAUCGUGGCCGUAGGGGCACGCAAGUGUUUCUGCGGUUUGCGAGAAGACGACCAAACUUGAUCAUUUAGAGGAAGUAAAAGUCGUAACAAGGUU